rnacentral:rRNA from 1 species
AACACAUGCAAGUCGAGGGGCAGCAUGGUCUUAGCUUGCUAAGGCCGAUGGCGACCGGCGCACGGGUGAGUAACACGUAUCCAACCUGCCGUCUACUCUUGGACAGCCUUCUGAAAGGAAGAUUAAUACAAGAUGGCAUCAUGAGUCCGCAUGUUCACAUGAUUAAAGGUAUUCCGGUAGACGAUGGGGAUGCGUUCCAUUAGAUAGUAGGCGGGGUAACGGCCCACCCAGUCUUCGAUGGAUAGGAGUUCUGAGAGGAAGGUCCCCCACAUUGGAACUGAGACACGGUCCAAACUCCUACGGGAGGCAGCAGUGAGGAAUAUUGGUCAAUGGGCGAGAGCCUGAACCAGCCAAGUAGCGUGAAGGAUGACUGCCCUAUGGGUUGUAAACUUCUUUUAUAAAGGAAUAAAGUCGGGUAUGUAUACCCGUUUGCAUGUACUUUAUGAAUAAGGAUCGGCUAACUCCGUGCCAGCAGCCGCGGUAAUACGGAGGAUCCGAGCGUUAUCCGGAUUUAUUGGGUUUAAAGGGAGCGUAGAUGGAUGUUUAAGUCAGUUGUGAAAGUUUGCGGCUCAACCGUAAAAUUGCAGUUGAUACUGGAUAUCUUGAGUGCAGUUGAGGCAGGCGGAAUUCGUGGUGUAGCGGUGAAAUGCUUAGAUAUCACGAAGAACUCCGAUUGCGAAGGCAGCCUGCUAAGCUGCAACUGACAUUGAGGCUCGAAAGUGUGGGUAUCAAACAGGGUUAGAUACCCUGGUAGUCCACACGGUAAACGAUGAAUACUCGCUGUUUGCGAUAUACAGCAAGCGGCCAAGCGAAAGCGUUAAGUAUUCCACCUGGGGAGUACGCCGGCAACGGUGAAACUCAAAGGAAUUGACGGGGGCCCGCACAAGCGGAGGAACAUGUGGUUUAAUUCGAUGAUACGCGAGGAACCUUACCCGGGCUUAAAUUGCAGAUGAAUUACGGUGAAAGCCGUAAGCCGCAAGGCAUCUGUGAAGGUGCUGCAUGGUUGUCGUCAGCUCGUGCCGUGAGGUGUCGGCUUAAGUGCCAUAACGAGCGCAACCCUUGUUGUCAGUUACUAACAGGUUUCGCUGAGGACUCUGACAAGACUGCCAUCGUAAGAUGUGAGGAAGGUGG